GAAUGGAAUGAUGAUGAUUCUUUGUUUCCCUAUUGGUUUGAUUGCCUGCAUGAUGGCUUUCUUGUAUUAGCUCUGUCUGAUCAUUC